rnacentral:rRNA from 1 species
GAUGAACGCUGGCGGCGUGCUUAACACAUGCAAGUCGGACGCGCAUGUCUUUCGGGAUGUGCGAGUGGCAGACGGGUGCGUAACACGUGGGUGACCUGCCCUGGAGUGGGGAAUAACUGCCCUAACGGGUGGCUAAUACCGCAUAUGCUCACAGCUUCGGUGUUGUGAGUAAAGCCUUCGGGCGCUUUGGGAUGGGCCUGCGGCGGAUUAGCUAGUUGGUGGGGUAACGGCCUACCAAGGCGAUGAUCCGUAGGGGGCGUGAGAGCGUGGCCCCCCACACUGGCACUGAGACACGGGCCAGACUCCUACGGGAGGCAG